rnacentral:rRNA from 1 species
GACUACUGGGGUAUCUAAGCCUGUUUGCUCCCCACGCUUUCGUCCCUCAGUGUCAGUAACCGCCCAGUAAAGCGCCUUCGCCACUGGUGUUCCUCCCGAUAUCUACAGAUUUCACCCUUACACCGGGAAUUCCCUUUACCUCUGCGGUACUCAAGUCCAACAGUUUCCAAUGCAGUUCCACGGUUGAGCCAUGGGAUUUCACAUCAGACUUGUUAGACCACCUACGGACCCUUUACACCCAAUAAAUCCGAACAACGCUUGCCACCUCUGUCUUACCGCGGCUGCUGGCACAGAGUUAGCCGUGGCUUCCUUUGGGAGUGAUGUCAGCUUACGCGCUGUUAACACGUAAGGUUUCUUCCUCCCUGACAGUGGUUUACGACCCGAAGGCCUUCAUCCCACACGCGGCGUCGCAUAGUCACCCUUUCGGGCAUUGCUAAAGAUCCUCGACUGCAGCCCCCCGUAGG